GAACUAUGGCGAAUGCAUUUAUGGUCAUUAAUGCAUAAAUAAAGAGACCAAUUAGUAGUGAUUGAAUUCCUUCUAUGGUUCCACAUGAGAAACCAAUACAAAUAUA